GACGAACGCUGGCGGCGUGCUUAACACAUGCAAGUCGAACGGAAAGGCCCUGCUUUUGUGGGGUGCUCGAGUGGCGAACGGGUGAGUAACACGUGAGUAACCUGCUCUUGACUUUGGGAUAACUUCAGGAAACUGGGGCUAAUACCGGAUCGGAGCUCCUGCUGCAUGGUGGGGGUUGGAAAUUUUCGGCGGUUGGGGAUGGACUCGCGGCUUAUCAGCUUGUUGGUGGGGUAGUGGCUUACCAAGGCUUUGACGGGUAGCCGGCCUGGGAGGGUGACCGGCGACAUUGGGACUGAGAUACGGACCAGACUCCUACGGGAGGCAGCAGUGGGGAAUAUUGCACAAUGGGAGGAAGCCUGAUGCAGCAACGCCGCGUGCGGGAUGACGGCCUGCGGGUUGUAAACCGCUUUCGCCUGUGACGAAGCGUGAGUGACGGUAAUGGGUAAAGAAGCACCGGCUAACUACGUG
rnacentral:rRNA from 1 species